GACGAACGCUGGCGGCGCGCUUAACACAUGCCAGUCGAACGGAAAGGCCUGCUUUCCCUUGUGGAUUGCGGGUACUCGAGUGGCGAACGGGUGAGUAACACGUGAGUGAUCUGCCCCCAACUUGGGUAUAAGCCUGGGAAACUGGGUCUAAUUCCCGAUAGGACUGCAGGGUGGUGCCUGUGGUGGAAAACGAUUUUCUAGUGGUUGGGGAUGAGCUCGCGGCCUAUCAGCUUGUUGGUGGGGUAAUGGCCUACCAAGGCGGCGACGGGUAGCCGGCCUGGGAGGGUGGACGGCCACAUUGGGACUGAGAUACGGCCCAGACUCCUACGGGAGGCAGCAGUGGGGAAUAUUGCACAAUGGGCGGAAGCCUGAUGCAGCGACGCCGCGUGGGGGAUGACGGCCUUCGGGUUGUAAACUCCUUUCGACCGCGAGGAAGCCACCUGGUUGGAAGGGUGGUGACGGUAGUGGUAGAAGAAGCACCGGCUAACUACGUG
rnacentral:rRNA from 1 species